rnacentral:rRNA from 1 species
UGAACCUUUACUACAACUUUACAUUGGCUUUAGCUGUAGCAUGUGUAGGAUAGGCGGGAGGCUGUGAAGAGACGUCGCCAGGCGUUUUGGAGCCACCCUUGAAAUACCGCCCUUGCUACAGGUGAAGUCUAACCCGGAAGCGGGAACAGUGUAUGGUGGGUAGUUUGACUGGGGCGGUCUCCUCCCAAAGAGUAACGGAGGAGUGCGAAGGUAACCUCAGCGCGGUCGGAAAUCGCGCAGUGAGUGCAUAGGCAUAAGGUUGCUUGACUGCAAGACAAACAAGUCGAGCAGGUACGAAAGUAGGUCAUAGUGAUCCGGUGGUUCUGUAUGGAAGGGCCAUCGCUCAACGGAUAAAAGCUACCCUGGGGAUAACAGGCUUAUC